AUCCUACGGGAGGCAGCAGUGAGGAAUAUUGGUCAAUGGACGAGAGUCUGAACCAGCCAAGUAGCGUGAAGGAUGACUGCCCUAUGGGUUGUAAACCUCUUUUGUCAGGGAGCAACGCCGGCUACGUGUAGCCGGACUGAGAGUACCUGAAGAAAAAGCAUCGGCUAACUCCGUGCCAGCAGCCGCGGUAAUACGGAGGAUCCGAGCGUUAUCCGGAUUUAUUGGGUUUAAAGGGAGCGUAGGUGGAUUGUUAAGUCAGUUGUGAAAGUUUGCGGCUCAACCGUAAAAUUGCAGUUGAAACUGGC
rnacentral:rRNA from 1 species